UACAGAGGGUGCAAGCGUUAAUCGGAAUUACUGGGCGUAAAGGGCGUGUAGGCGGCCAACUAAGUCCGACGUGAAAUCCCCAGGCUUAACCUGGGAACUGCGUCGGAUACUGGAUGGCUUGAAUCCGGGAGAGGGAUGCGGAAUUCCAGGUGUAGCGGUGAAAUGCGUAGAUAUCUGGAGGAACACCGGUGGCGAAGGCGGCAUCCUGGACCGGCAUUGACGCUAAAGCGCGAAAGCCAGGGGAGCAAACGGG
rnacentral:rRNA from 1 species